UUGCAAUUUCUGAGCGGUUUUGUCCAGAAGACUGUGCUCAGGUUAUGACGACUAAUCCCAAACCGAACAAGGCAUUAAAGGUAAAGGAGGAGUCGGGAGAGAAUGCCCCAGUGCUGAGUGAUGAUGAACUCGUGUCAAUGUCCGUACGGGAGCUGAACCAGCACCUGAGGGGUCUCACCAAAGAGGAGGUCAUCCGUCUGAAGCAGCGGAGGCGCACGCUGAAGAACCGGGGCUACGCUGCCAGCUGCCGCAUCAAGCGUGUGACUCAGAAAGAGGAGCUCGAGAGGCAGCGGGUUGAGCUGCAGCAAGAGGUGGAGAAGCUGGCCAGAGAAAACAGCAGCAUGAAGCUAGAGCUGGACGCCUUGCGUUCCAAGUACGAAGCACUCCAGACCUUUGCUCGUACUGUGGCGCGAGGGCCUAUUACCCCGACCAAAGUUGCCACCACCAGUGUCAUCACCAUUGUGAAAUCAGCCGAAAUCUCAUCCAGUUCUGUGCCGUUUUCAGCAGCAUCCUAGUGCCCUCGGUGUGGGGAACUAGCAGCCUUUCAGAGGGGAGGGGAAAAGGCUCUUAUGCAUUGUUCCGGAGUCCUUGGUCACGUCAAGAAUUGGUAUUUUAGCAAUUCUCUUCCAAAAGUGCAAAAAGUAGAGAAAAAAAAAAAGAAAAAAAAAAAAAAACAAACCCAAACCUAGAAAGGGAACUUAACUGGCUGCUUCUAUCUGGACUUGGUGACUCCAUCAACCUCUCGUGUCCAGGAUUUGAGCUCUGUAUGCAGUACAAGUUGCAAGAUCUGCUUCCUCCUUCCCCCUGCCUCCCCAAACCCCUCUCAGCCGUGGGCAGCUUUCCAGCUGGGAGAAGAUACCUGAGGAGCCUCCGGAGUCUUCGUGAAUGAUGCUCAAGAGCCAGGAAACAGAUGGACCCUAGAAAUCAUCAUGUGAGAUGAAACUUAAGGGAAGGAGGCACAGUGAAUGCUGUGAAGAGCUGUGUGAUGGGGAGGAGAAGGGGAGACGAGGAGGAAAAACGCUGCAAGUAUUACCGAGUGGAGGCAGAACUGGCUGCGAGAAGGUGGGACAGUUCUGCUGGGAUCAGCACUAUGAGGAGGAGUUUGUGCAGAGUAUUUUGGAAAGAUGUUUUUAAAGCACUGAAGUGUAACUAGAGGGCAAUAGCGUUCAGACGGGAGGAGAGAAGCUAUAGAGCCUCCUCUUUGACAAAAGCAUUGGUAGGUUAGCAGUGAACAUCCCAGCUGGAGAGCUGGGCUCACCUGUCUUUGGUGACCAGAGAAGGGCUGUGGGGAGGUCGGACGGGAGCUGGAAGUGUCUUUUCCUCUCCGUAGCGUGUCAGGCGCUGAAGUUGGGAUCUAAGGAGUACAGUGAACAACCCUCAGUGUUCAGACAACCUGUGUGAAUGUGACCCUGAAACUUGACGCUUUCUCUUGGGAAUAGGUGAAUUGUUCCAAGAGGUGCAUGGAGGGCAGGAUGAAAAUCAGUGUGUGUAGGGGAUGGAAAAAUUGGGAUUGAGAAGUCGUUUGUAUGGCUCUGAGCAGCGGUUUGGGAGAAGGAUUUCUGGCUCGGCAAUGGGCAGGAGGCGGGAAGUGGAAAGGAGAGAUUCUGCUGUUGCGCAGCAGCACUGAAAAGACAAAUGUUUCCAGGUCACUGUAAAAAAAAAAAAAAAAAUAGCUAUGUUGAUGUUUGUGUGUUUUGUUGUUGUUAUUUUUUUCUUUUUGAAGUAGGAAAGAAAAGGGAUUGUGAGUUUUGCAGGGCAGGUCAGAGACUUGUGGAAUGGACGAUGCCUGUUGUCACACAGGUGAGAAGAGAAUGAGAUGGCUGAAGUUUAAGAUGAGGAGAAGAGCUUAGAGGAUUUGGGCUCCAGAACAGAAAACAAAGAUCACGGAGAAUUCAUGAGUGUUUUGGACUGAAAGAGAAUAAUCAAGUGCCACCGUUGUUGCAAAGGGGACAGUGAACUGGCAUCCCACACCCGGUAUAAUUUGUUGUUUGAGGCUUUGUCUUGCCUUGAAUGGCAGUAAGUUUAUAGAAAUUUACUGAAGCCCUACUUGUCUUUGGAAGAAGUUGUUAGCUUGCUUUUUUUCUUUUUUUUUUUUUUCACCUUGUCAUCGGAGUCUCUGGAUUUCCCAGGAGGGUCCUUUGUGAAAUAGGUUAAUGAAAAGAGAAACCUCAGACUUGGUUCUCGUUCAGUCCUCAACAUCAACAUCCGUGACCUUACUGAGCCAGAAAGGGUGUAAGUGAAACGCUUCCUGAAGGCUCGUUACCCCUGCCAGAUCCACGUGUUAUGGAGGGGAGCAGGGAGUUUCCUUCAAGUGAUUUUCCAACACGUAGAGUUUGGAUGACACUUAGCGUUACCUCAUUUCUCCUCCACUCCCUCCCUAUCUCCGAACAGGCAGAUCGAUGUCCUGUGUAUCAGUACCAGUUAUUGACUCCCACAGCAGAAGCUGAGGAAGAGAAAGAUGUUACUGUCAUUUCCUGGUCCUCUCAUGUUCUCCAGCUCGCAAACAUUGGAAACUUUCCCAGACCUUACAGGUGCCUCCGAAAACAGGCAAAAUGGAGACUCCUGGCACUGUUGGGGCUUUAAAUGAAAACUUUAAUGAAAAAGGCCAGUUGACUUGAAAAAUGCCCAAAUGCUUCCAGUCUUUAAAACAGCUCCAGAGCUCCAUAACAUUCCUGGCUAGAUAGGAACACCCUCUGGCUGCCCUUGACCCCCCCCCCGCAGCAGGGAAAUCAGACCAGUCGCACUGAGGGGGACGGAGGUCGAACUUUGUUCUGUGGGGUCGUCUUGCUGUUGGAAUGGGUUGAGAAACAUGUCUUUACGUGGCAGUUCCUUCGCGGCCAAGUAUUUCUUUUUUUCCAGUUCUUGGAAGGGUGCCAAAGGCUUGUCCAAGUGAUUGCUAGUUUAGUGCCGGUAGGCACUUAAAUCUCUGGUCACUCGAUAAAGAACAAGAGGCCUGGGUGUUGUUAAAGCUGUUGAUACCAUAGCCAUGGUAGGUAAUCCAUAUUGGAUAUCCAUAAGGACCACGUGGAAAUAUUUAAAGAGAGAGAAAUAUAUAUAUAAAUAUAUAAUUAUAUACAUUUUAUCGUACAGAUUUUUCGUAAAAAAAAAAAAAUAAUUUUUUUUCCAAGUUUGAUACUGUAAAUCUUUAUUAAAAGAAAUUGCCAGUCCAGGGCUCCUUGGGUGGUGACCUGGAGGGGGAUGAAAUGUCCUGGCUAAACUUCCACAGAGGGAUCAGAAUUGCAAGGUAACGUGGAGGGAGGAAUGACCCGAAAGCUGUUGACCGCGUUGGAGACCCAACUCCUCCACCCUCCGCCCUGGAGGGCCCUCCAGCUUGGGGUUGUCGCAUUGCAUUCCUCUGGAGUUUGGUUUGUUUCUGUUGUGGUUUUUUUUUUGUUUGUUUUGGUUUGGUUUUUUCUUUUUUCUUUUUUUUUUUUCCCUCUCCAUCCUGCACUUGCAAGCCUGACACCCAGGGCGAGCACCGCGUGGGGAGCUGGUUGCUGCCUGCAGAGUCGCCCAGGCGGCUCCGGCAACGCUCCCCCGCAGCCGUACCUCUCGCUUGUCUCUCUGCUGCAGUAGUUUGGAUGCCGGGGCUCCCUUCUCUGCCCCUCUUAAUUUGUAUGUGUGUGUGCAUGUGUCCCGCCCUGCCGAGGGGGCUCUGGAUUUGAGUGCUGGGAUCCUGUCCCCUGAACCUGGCUUUUCUUUGGUUGCUCCCCAUCCGCAGUGUGACGUGGGAACCGCGGGCUGGGCGGGAGGCAGGAGAAGACGAAAGCGUCGGGCAGGGACCGGGAGGGACAUCUCUGUAGACGUGUUUGCUGUGCUCUCUACUGGGAGUGGGGAACCUUUCCCUCCAGGGCAGCUCCAGAUCCCUUUGAAGCAAGUCAGCGUUCUCUGCUCUUGCCCAGCUCUACCGUCUGCCGGAGGAGACCGCAAAAAGCGCCAGUUUAGAGACGUGGGUGACACCGCAGCUCCGGGGAGGGGACGAGGCGCCGGCGGGUGAGCUGGUGCAGAGGAGAGCUGUGGCAGGGCUGGGCGCGAUGCCGUGGGAGCACGGAGCGGUCAGGCCAUGGGACGGCUCAGACCCGGGGAGGAGGAGAAGGUGGCAUUUUUUUUUUUCUCUCUCGAAUCAUUUAAACUUCAUUGUCAUGAUUGUUUUUAUUUAAAAAAAAAAAAAAGAAACAAAACAAAAAUGAAAAACUUUUGUAAUGUGGAUUUGUUUUCCUUCGUCUGUAUUUCAGUCUGCUGGGGUGUUUCCGUAGAUGGUGGAUACUUGCUUUCAUUUUUUUAAUGAUAGAAGUCUUCUGUUUUAAGUUGUUUUUUAUCACCAGCUCAUUCUAUCCUCUGUGGUUACUCAGUAAUUUCAUUUCAAUAUUUAUUUUUGUGCUGCUUUUUUAUUAUAAAAUAAAUUAUUGAUAUACCAAGCAAUGUGGAUUCCUGUUUGUAAGGCGAAUAGCCCUGUGUAUGUGUCCAUUACUUUCUCUUGACAGCCACAACGUAAUUUAUUGCUGUAAAUUUAGCUGCAGUGACUGGUUUUUUUUGUACCUUUCCAAUAAAGCAUUUU